CCUACGGGAGGCAGCAGUGGGGAAUAUUGGACAAUGGGCGAAAGCCUGAUCCAGCAAUGCCGCGUGAGUGAUGAAGGCCUUAGGGUUGUAAAGCUCUUUUACCAGGGAUGAUAAUGACAGUACCUGGAGAAUAAGCUCCGGCUAACUCCGUGCCAGCAGCCGCGGUAAUACGGAGGGAGCUAGCGUUGUUCGGAAUUACUGGGCGUAAAGCGUGCGUAGGCGGUGAUUCAAGUCAGAGGUGAAAGCCUGGAGCUCAACUCCAGAACGGCCUUUGAAACUAGAUCGCUAGAAUUAUGGAGAGGUAAGUGGAAUUCCGAGUGUAGAGGUGAAAUUCGUAGAUAUUCGGAAGAACACCAGUGGCGAAGGCGACUUACUGGACAUAUAUUGACGCUGAGGUACGAAAGCGUGGGGAGCAAACAGGAUUAGAUACCCUGGUAGUCCACGCCGUAAACGAUGAUAACUAGCUGUUCGGGCUCUCAGNGCUUGUAGUGGCGCAGCUACGACAUUAAGUUAGUCCGUCCGUCGGGUAGGUACGGUCGGCGAAGUAAGUUAAACGUACGUUAAGAAGUUAGUUACGGCGUGAGACGNGCGACGGACGACGACGAGGGAGGAGG
rnacentral:rRNA from 1 species